rnacentral:rRNA from 1 species
UACGUAGGGUGCGAGCGUUAAUCGGAAUACUGGGCGUAAAGCGUGCGCAGGCGGUGAUGUAAGACCGAUGUGAAAUCCCCGGGCUUAACCUGGGAACUGCAUUGGUGACUGCAUUGCUGGAGUAUGGCAGAGGGGGGUGGAAUUCCACGUGUAGCAGUGAAAUGCGUAGAGAUGUGGAGGAACACCGAUGGCGAAGGCAGCCCCCUGGGCCAAUACUGACGCCUCAUGCACGAAAGCGUGGGGAGCAAACAGG